ensembl:lncRNA
AUGGAAGUAACCAUCUUGACUGUUAAAACGCAAGUAAUUUUUUUAUUGCAGGACAUCACUGGCAGGGAUAACUGCAAGAGGGAUAGGGCAUGUUUCUCCGCUCCACCUUCCUGUAAUCCAGGUGCAGAAGGUUCCUGCUAUUUUCUUUCCACAAGAGGAGUAAGCGGAAAUGCAGAUAAUUUUACUUUUGAGCUGAGUGGCGAGACAGAUGGUUACAUUGGAGCUGGCCUCUCUCGAGACAGCAGUGGUCAAGGUGCCACCGUCUAUUCUUGUGCCAAAUUCAAUGGUGCACUGAGGUUAAUUCGUUCCACACUGAACAAUCAAAUAUUGAUGCAGGAUAAUACAUUUAUCCCUGGAAGCUUCCAAGGCUCAGUCAUUGGUAGAAAGAUUCAAUGCAUUUUCAAUGCUGCAGGUCUCAGCAGCACCACCCGUUCUGCAACCACAGACACUUUUGUCUUCCUUGUAACAGGCAGCAUAUUAAAUGGUUCUCUGGAUUAUCCAGUCAGUAGACUGACCACAAAUGGGGCAGUGGACUUAAGCAACCCCAACAGCACAGACGUUUCAGUAAUAACACCCAGUACAAAUGCCACUGCAUCUAAUACCACAGCAACAUCAACCACCACUGCAGCAUCUACAAACUUGACCCAGACGAUACUUCCCAACAUAACCGUCAACCUGACCCAGACAAACCCUACCAACAUAACCGCCAACCUGACCCAGACAAACCCUCCCAACAUAACCGCCAACCUGACCCAGACACACCCUCCCAACAUAACCGCCAACCUGACCCAGACAAACCCUCCCAACAUAACCGUCAACCUGACCCAGGCAAACCCUCCCAACAUAACCGCCAACCUGACCCAGACAAACCCUCCCAACAUAACCUCUAACCUGACCCAGACAAGGCCUCCCAAUAUUACCACAAACCCGACCCAGACAGGCCCCCUCACCAUAUCAAAUAUUAUAACAACAUCAGGCUCUAAUACUCUGUCACCAGACAUCACUGGCAGGGAUAACUGCAGGAGGGAUAGGGCAUGUUUCUCCGCUCCACCUUCCUGUAAUCCAGGUGCAGAAGGUUCCUGCUAUUUUCUUUCCACAAGAGGAGUAAGCGGAAAUGCAGAUAAUUUUACUUUUGAGCUGAGUGGCGAGACAGAUGGUUACAUUGGAGCUGGCCUCUCUCGAGACAGCAGUGGUCAAGGUGCCACCGUCUAUUCUUGUGCCAAAUUCAAUGGUGCACUGAGGUUAAUUCGUUCCACACUAAACAAUCAAAUAUUGAUGCAGGAUAAUACGUUUAUCCCUGGAAGCUUCCGAGGCUCAGUCAUUGGUAGAAAGAUUCAAUGCAUUUUCAAUGCUGCAGGUCUCAGCAGCACCACCCGUUCUGCAACCACAGACACUUUUGUCUUCCUUUUAACAGGCAGCAUAUCAAAUGGUUCUCUGGAUUCUCCAGUCAGUAGACUGACCACAAAUGGGUCAGUGGACUUAAGCAACCCCAACAGCACAGACGUUUCAGUAAUAACACCCAGUACAAAUGCCACUGCAUCUAAUACCACAGCAACAUCAACCACCACUGCAGCAUCUACAAACUUGACCCAGACGGUAUUUCCCAACAUAACCGCCAACCUGACCCAGACAAACCCUCCCAACAUUACCGCCAACCUGACCCAGACACACCCUCCCAACAUAACCGCCAACCUGACCCAGACACACCCUCCCAACAUAACCGCCAACCUGUCCCAGACAAACCCUCCCAACAUAACCGCCAACCUGACCCAGACAAACCCUCCCAACAUAACCGCCAACCUGACCCAGACAAACCCUCCCAACAUAACCGCCAACCUGACCCAGACAAACCCUCCCAACAUAACCGCCAACCUGACCCAGACAAACCCUCCCAACAUAACCGUCAACCUGACCCAGACACACCCUCCCAACAUAACCGCCAACCUGACCCAGACACACCCUCCCAACAUAACCGCCAACCUGACCCAGACACACCCUCCCAACAUAACCGCCAACCUGACCCAGACAAACCCUCCCAACAUAACCGCCAACCUGACCCAGACAAACCCUCCCAACAUAACCGCCAACCAGACUCAAACACGCCCUUCCACCGUGAUUGCUAACCUGACUGCGACACCAUCAGGCUCUAAUACCUUGAACAACAGCAACGUCAAUAAUCUAUCACUAGAUAUCACUGGCAGGGAUAACUGCAGGAGGGAUAGAGCAUGUUUCUCUGCUCCACCUACUUGUAAUCCAGGUGCACAAGAUUCCUGUUAUUUCCUAUCUGCAAAAGGAGUAAGCGGAAGUGCAGAUAAUUUUACCUUUGAACUCAGUGGCGAGUCAGAUGGUUACAUUGGAGCUGGCCUCUCUCGAGACAACAGUGGUCAAGGAGCCACUGUCUAUUCUUGCGCCAACAUCAAUGGUGCACUGAAGUUCUUCCGUUCCACACUGAACAAUCAAAGACUGGCUCAGGAUAACACUUUCAUCCCUGGAAGUUUCCGUGGUUCGGUGAAUAGAGGAAAGAUUCAGUGCAUUUUCAAUGCUGCAGGUCUCGGCAGCAUCACUCGUGCGGCAACCACAGACACUUAUGUCUUCUUUUUAACAGGCAGUGUCUCAAAUGGCUCUCUGGAUUCUCCAGUCACUAGACUGACUACAAAUGGGUCAGUGGACUUAAGCAACCCUAACAGCACAGAUGUUUCAGUAAUAACACCCAGUACAAAUGCCACCACAACAGCCCCGAACAUCACCACAUCUAGUUCCUCUUUAGCAUUAAACACCACUACAGCCCCGAACACCACCGCAUCUAAUUCCACUGCAUCCUCAAAUACUACUGCAUCAUCAAAUGCCACUGCAUCUAAUGCCUCUGGAUUAUCUACAGCUAAUAAUGUUACAACAAAUGAUAAGGUCACCAAGGACAACUGUAAAAAGGACAGGGCAUGUUUCUCCACUCCAGCCAACUGUGAUCCAUCAAGCUCAAGUAGCUGCAUUUUUGCCUCCACAAGAGUGGUGAACGGAAACUUAGACAAUCUCACUUUUGAGCUCAGUGGGGAUUCAAAUGGUUACAUCGCAGUUGGCCUGUCUCGAGACAAGAAGGAGGGUGAUGAUGACACUGUCUACUCUUGUGCCAAUGACAAUGGUGUGGCGAAGUUCAUUCGUGCCACUCUGAACAACAACAUUCUGACUCCAGAUAAGACUUUUAACCCUGGAUCCUUCCGUGGCUCUGUGAACGGCACAAGGAUUCAGUGCAUUUUUGUAGCUGCAGGUCUCAGCAGCAACGCCCGUGCGGCAAACACAAAUGCUUUCCUCUAUUUCUUCACUGGCAACUUUACAAAUGGCACUUUAGGGUCUCCAGUCACACGAAUGUUUACAAAUUCAUUGGUUGAUCUAACCAACACUAGCAGCUCAGACGUUGCCAUAAUAACACCCACUACAAGCACAGAUAAUACUACCACUAUUACGACUACUACAGCAAAACCUGCUACUACAGCAGGGAGCAAUGCACUGCAUCAUGCUGCAUCUCAGGCUGCUCUGGUAAUUCUCUCAGGGAUCCUUGCAGUGCUCCUGUUGUAAGGAUUCUGCCAACACAUUUGCUUUCUGAAACUGGUCGAUGAGCACUGAACGCUUGAUGAACCCAACACCAAAGUAUAUGUAAUUCAGCAUAUUUAUAACUGUGCAAUAAUGCGACUCUGGGAACAAUGAAGAAAGAAGCAGAAAAUAUGGGGAAGAGGGCAUUACAUUAUUUAUUUAAUCUUAGUGUUUGUGUGUGAGAGAUUGUGUUUAUGAAUGUUUUUGCGAGCGUUAGUGUUUGUAUUCUGCUAAUGUACUGCUAUUUAAAAUCAGGCUCCUGCACAGAGAGGGCUGAUGAAAAUUAAAAUCAGUAUAUUAAUAUAAUUGUGCAAGUGUGAGCCAUCAUGUGGCUAAAAUGAUCUAAGAUAAUUGUUUUCAAAUGUCUUAAUUUAUUGUUACUGUUGCCUCAAACCAUUGAUUUCCUGUAAGUUAUAAAUAUAGUCUUUUUUUUUUAAUAUGCAUAAUAAAAUGUUCAAGUAAAAAAAAUGAAACUGGUAGAUCAGUGUUUGGACUAAAGGUUAAAGUGGCAAAGAACAAACUAAAUGCAAACAGCAUGCAUAGUCAGGAUAGUAAAUUAGUGAAACACUUCCCAUAUUGUUGAUCAAAGUCUGCACAUGCAAUCAAGCACUACGGUUUUUCACAAGACAUUUGUGACACUUGGUAGAAGUCGAAUUAGACGCAACAUGGACAGGUUAUGUAGCAUUCUCAUGCACAAAAACUAUGAACAAAACCACCCACCAAUCAAACGUGUUUAUUUUUAAAUAAUUAAUCAUCUUAGUACUGUGUUGGGUCACCAAAUUGUGGACAGAUAAAGUGCUUAAUAUUCAAAUCACUUCAAAGGCAAUGCAAUAGAUUAAUGAUAUUUUAAAUCUGUUUGAUUUUUGUCUUUGCAUUACAAAAUGAUGCAGAAGCAACAAUCUGUUUUCUACUAACCUUUACUGAUUAAAAAAAUGGUGUAGAAACAAUUCUUACUAAGAAAUUGGUAGUAAAUUUUACAUUUAAUUAUGAAGUAACAGUGAAUUAAACAAUACAUUUUGAAGUAGAAAGACUGUAAUAGUAUUUUGUUUUUUACUCUUUUAAAAUUGUUUAACUUUAUUUUUUUUUUACAGUGUUCUAUUUUGAUAAGGAGUGUUUUGUACACGUUAUAAAAUAACUCAAAAUACAGAUGCUCUACAGAAGAGAAUAGGACAAUCAUAGUUUAAUACCAACAAACAUCUUAGAUUUACAUAUGGGUAGAUAUGUACUGAAGGCUUAAAUAUUCAAUUGUAAAUAUCCUUUAUUAUUCUUAUUUUGAUUUUGUUUUUGUCAAAUAUCUGAAUAUUUUAUCUUCUGAACACUUACAUUAAAAAUACACAAAGUACUUAAGUACUUGUACUGUAAAAACCUUUGUGGGUUAAUAAAUCCAAGUGGAUCAGCUUAAAAGUUUAUCAUCCAAAAAUAGUUUUUGGUCUGAUUAUAAACACUCACUGGUUCUUUUUAAUCCAUCAGCAUGUCACAUUUCAUUCAUCUCUAUCACGUGUCAUUUUCUUAGCUUCUUUCCAAAAAAAAAACCAACAACAACAACAAAAAAAAACAAAUAAAUGAAAAUAUUGACAUCCACAUUAUUUACAUAGGCAAAAGAACUGUACGUCUAGUCAAACAAACUGCACAAACAAGUGCAUCAGGGAAAAGAAAAACACUGAGCAGACAUUUCUAGUAAUAAGCAAGUAAGAAUUGUGGCAGAUUAAUGUUGGUGGAACUUAAACAUGAAAAAUAUAAAACACAUGAGGAGCUGUUGCUUUCAAAGCUCAAGAUGCCAGUACAGAUGCAAUCAUAGUGUGCUUCCUCACAUGUUCGUGCUCUUCUGAAUCAGCAAUUUGAGAACAUUUACAUUUACGUUUACAUUUACAUUCAUGUUCAUGGAUUUUGAAGAAAACUCAAUGAAUAAGAAAAACAAGUGACAUUCUAAGAAGUGAACAGCAGUAGAUGUAGAGGCAAAUGGCGAUCGAGGGGCAAAUAUUUACUACAUUGCUAUAUGAACAACUAAUGUGAAUAUUAACAUUUUAAAGAUCAUCAGAAACAGAUCUUCUCCUCGUGUCAGACCAGAUGCAGGACAGUGUUUGUGUGCUUUCAGGUAGUUUUGACAGGCAGCUUUCAUGCAUAAAACAACAAAAUGCAAAUGUCUGUAGACCUUGAGAUGUCCAGAAGAUGGGAAAGAACAGACAAAUUGAAAAAUGGCAAGUGCAACAAAAACUGGAGAAACUGUCAUGUGGACCACAUUUUUUUGUUAUUCCGGAGCUUGACAGCUUCAGUUUUCAUGUCAUACAAGUUAGAACGACAUGGAAUAACAACAGUUUAAGUAAAAAUGUGGUGCCACUGAAUUUGAAUACAAAAAUGAAUACAAAUGUAGUUCAGGAAGAUUGUCUCUCAGUUUUCUCUCAGGAGAGGACAGCUGACAAACAGUUUGGUGGAUUUUGCUAUUGCUGUUUACAUGUAAUAUUCAAUGUAAGCAUGUCAACAUGAACUUCAUCCUUUGACUUGAUUCAGAUAAAAGUGUCCGCCACAAUUUCAAUAGCUUUGACAUUUUGAUAUAAUUUAUCACUAAAAGUUGAAGUUACAAGUUAUCAUUAUUUUCAGUGAAAAUGUGUUUACUUGUUUUGUUACUAAAAGAUGCAAAAUACUGAUUUGUGUGUGUGUGUGUGUGUGUGUGUGUGUGUGUGUGUGUGUGUGUGUGUGUGUGUGUGUGUGUGUGUGUGUGUGUAAUUUUUUUCCAGCACCAGUCAGAGUGAAAAGUGGGAGGGGAAACAGGAUCAUGUGACUCUGAUGUAAAAUUAAACUAAUGUGUUUCUCCCAGGGACAACAUUCAUUCAAACUUACUCAAAUGAAAGCAGAAAGAAUCACGCACCACCUGAAAUGAACAUGAGGGACUUCUACAAGAGUAUGUGGUUUUUACUGGGUAAGUUAAACACAAUCUGUUUAAUAUCUUAAUGACCUUCAGUCUGCUUUCAGCUUCAUCUUUCAGAGAGAGAAACACUUAACAGAAGACCUUCAGUUAUAAUUGAAUGUGUUAUUCUUUUUUAAAUCUUAUCUAAAUACACUUAAACAAUAUACUUUUACUUGAGAAGCUAAUUACACAAGACAUUAAUACAUGAUUUUAGAAAUCGUACUGAAUUUUACCCAAUUGGCAAAUAUAUUUAAAGUAUAAAUCUAACAGAAUACAGGUUUAUAAUCAUAAGAAAAAUCCCUUUUAGUUGCAAAAUACUAAGAAUCAUUCUGUGUUUCUCAUUUUAAGGCUUUUUCUCAGUUCAAACGAAGGCAGAAAAAGAAGGUGAGAUUUUGUGAUUUCAUCUUUUUAUUAGUUUUUUUACAUAUAACAAAUAACAUCAUAACAUCCAUUCAGGAUAAAACGCAAAAACAACAACAACAGACAUAUAAUCAAUUUUCAUAUUUCAAUGAGAGGAAAAGGGAGAAAAUAUGUGUGUGUGUGUGUAUAUAUAUAUAUAUAUAUAUAUAUAUAUAUAUAUAUAUACACUGUAAAAAAAAGUCUGUAGUUUUUACAAAAUAAUUUUGGCAGCUGUGGUUGCCAGAAUACUUUUGUAAAAAAUACAGAAAAACUGUAAACACAAUUACGGCCAAAAACUGUCAAUUUUACAGUACACUGUAAAAAAAGUCUGUAGUUUUUUUACAAAAAUAAUUUUUGGCAGCUGUGGUUGCCAGAAUACUUUUGUAAAAAAAUACAGAAAAAAACUGUAAACACAAUUACGGCCAAAAACUGUAAAUUUUACAGUAUAAAACUGUUAUUUACAAACAAGAAAAUUUGAAUGUAAACCAGUAAAUUCAACAACGCACACUGCUAUUAAAAUCUGUUUUGUACCUUUAACAUACUGACAACCACCAUAAUAAUGCAGGUGGUAAAAGAGAAAGCCACAUGAAGAAUCGAAGUUCAUCACAAGUAGCUUCGCCACAAGCAGAAGUUUAUAUUAAUAUAUAGAAGGUGCACAAAGUCAUUCAUGCAAACACAAAACACCAUCAUGGUGACACACGAUACUUAAACAAUUCAAUAAACUUUCAUUAAACAGCAGAAGAUGUAACAAAGCCCAAAUGUACAACUGAUAACAAAAAACUAUUAAAAAACAUGAUUAUUUAAACAAAAUACUUUCAAAUGUGGAGCGUCACACAGGGAAUUCUGGGAAUAUCAGUUUACAGUUUUUUUGACUGUAAAUUAU